rnacentral:misc_RNA from 1 species
AGGUUUAGUUGUUGUUGUUGUUGUACAGAGAACUAAAAUGCAGACUAAAUCAGAAACAUGUGACAACCAAAAACUAUUAGACACGAGCAAUCAGAAUAAUAAUAGUCAAGUGUUUAUGAAUCUAGCAGAUAAUUAUUUUGAACUUAUUUCCUUUUCGGAAGGCUUUAAGCAUGCUAAGACUUUCUUUUAAUUAAGCUUGAACUCAAAAUGCACAUUGUUUGCAAAAAGAAAUCUGUAUUAUAUAUCCCCCACAGCCUCACUUUCAGCACGAGAUUGGUAUCUUUGAAAACUGUAAGGUUCAAAAACUAUGAAGUGCAAUUAAAAACUAAACACAAUUCAGACACUUCAAACAAUCUAAAGUUCAUAGUGUAACCAAAGCAGAC